rnacentral:tRNA from 1 species
AAGGUUUUAGCUUAAUCAAAGUGUCUGCUUUGCAUGCAGAAGAUGUGGGAUAGUGUCCUGCAAGCCUUA